rnacentral:rRNA from 1 species
GGGCUACACACGUGCUACAAUGGGUAGUACAGAGGGUUGCCAAGCCGUAAGGUGGAGCUAAUCCCUUAAAGCUACUCUCAGUUCGGAUUGUAGGCUGAAACUCGCCUACAUGAAGCUGGAGUUACUAGUAAUCGCAGAUCAGAAUGCUGCGGUGAAUGCGUUCCCGGGUCUUGUACACACCGCCCGUCACACCACGGGAGUUGGAGACGCCCGAAGCCGAUUAUCUAACCUUUUGGAAGAAGUCGUCGAAGGUGGAAUCAAUAACUGGGGUGAAGUCGUAACAAGGUAGCCGUAUCGGAAGGUGCGGCUGGAUCACCUCCUUUCUAAGGA